CUGUUCAGGGGGUCAAUGAAAAGGGAUUCAUCAGUAGUCAGAUGGGUGGACAGUGGGUUAUUGGUCAAGUGAGGUAAGGGUUUGGUGGGUAGUGUCAGCAGUCAGGUGGGUGGACAGUGGGUUAUUGGUCAAGUCAGGUAAGGGUUUGGUGCGUAGUGUCAGUAGUCAGGUGGGUGGACAGUGGGUUACUGGUCAAGUGAGGUAAGGGUUUGGUGGGUAGUGUCAGUAGUCAGGUGGGUGGACAGUGGGUUAUUGGUCAAGUGAGGUAAGGGUUUGGUGGGUAGUGUCAGUAGUCAGGUGGGUGGGUAGUGGGUUAUUGGUCAAGUGAGGUAAGGGUUUGGUGGGUAGUGUCAGUAGUCAUGUGGGUGGACAGUGAGUUAUUGGUCAAGUGAGGUAAGGUUUUGAUGGAUAGUGUCAGUAUUCAGGUGGGUGGACAGUGGGUUAUUGGUCAAGUGAGGUAAGGGUUUGAUGGAUAGUGUCAGUAGUCAGGUGGGUGGACAGUGGGUUAUUGGUCAAGUGAGGUAAGGGUUUGGUGGGUAGUGUCAGUAGUCAGGUGGAUGGACAGUGGGUUACUGGUCAAGGGAGGUAAGGGUUUGGUGGGUAGUGUCAGUAGUCAGGUGGGUGGGUAGUGGGUUAUUGGUCAAGUGAGGUAAAGGUUUGGUGGGUAGUGUCAGUAGUCAGGUGGGUGGACAGUGGGUUAUUGGUCAAGUGAGGUAAAGGUUUGGUGGGUAGUGUCAGUAGUCAGGUGGGUGGACAGUGGGUUACUGGUCAAGUGAGGUAAGGGUUUGGUGGGUAGUGUCAGUAGUCAGGUGGGUGGACAUCGGGUUAUUGGUCAAGUCAGGUAAGGGUUUGGUGGGUAGUGUCAGUAGUCAGGUGGGUGGACAGUGGGUAACUGGUAAAAUGAGGUAAGGGUUUGGUAGGUAGUGGGUUAUUGGUCAAGUGAGGUAAGGGUUUGGUAGGUAGUGGGUUAUUGGUCAAGUGAGGUAAAGGUUUGGUGGGUAGUGUCAGUAGUCAGGUGGGUGGACAGUGAGUUAUUGGUCAAGGGAGGUAAGGGUUUGGUAUGUAGUGUCAGUAGUCAGGUGGGUGGACAGUGGGUUAUUGGUCAAGUCAG